rnacentral:rRNA from 1 species
UACGGAGGGUGCAAACGUUGCUCGGAAUCAUUGGGCGUAAAGCGCACGUAGGCGGUCUGUUAAGUCGGAUGUGAAAGCCCCGGGCUCAACCCGGGAAGUGCAUUCGAAACUGGCAGGCUUGAAUAUGGAAGAGGGUCGCGGAAUUCCCGGUGUAGAGGUGAAAUUCGUAGAUAUCGGGAGGAAUACCAGUGGCGAAGGCGGCGACCUGGGCCAAUAUUGACGCUGAGGUGCGAAAGCGUGGGGAGCAAACAGG